rnacentral:rRNA from 1 species
UACGUAGGGUGCGAGCGUUGUCCGGAAUUAUUGGGCGUAAAGAGCUCGUAGGCGGUGUGUCACGUCGGCCGUGAAAACCUGCAGCUUAACUGUGGGCGUGCGGUCGAUACGGGCAUCACUGGAGUUCGGCAGGGGAGACUGGAAUUCCUGGUGUAGCGGUGAAAUGCGCAGAUAUCAGGAAGAACACCCGUGGCUAAGGCGGCUUUCUGGGACGGUACUGACGCUGAGACGCGAAAGCGUGGGGAGCGAACAGG